GUGAGGAAUAUUGGUCAAUGGGCGCAAGCCUGAACCAGCCAUGCCGCGUGCAGGAAGACGGUCCUAUGGAUUGUAAACUGCUUUUAUUUGGGAAUAAACUCCGGUACGUGUACCGGCCUGAAGGUACCAAAUGAAUAAGCACCGGCUAACUCCGUGCCAGCAGCCGCGGUAAUACGGAGGGUGCAAGCGUUAUCCGGAAGCAUUGGGUUUAAAGGGUCCGCAGGCGGUCUUAUAAGUCAGUGGUGAAAGCCUACAGCUCAACUGUAGAACUGCCAUUGAUACUGUAGGACUUGAAUUCGAUCGAAGUGGGCGGAAUGUGACAUGUAGCGGUGAAAUGCUUAGAUAUGUCACAGAACACCGAUAGCGAAGGCAGCUCACUAGGUCUGGAUUGACGCUCAGGGACGAAAGCGUGGGGAGCAAACAGGAUUAGAAACCCGUGUAGUCC
rnacentral:rRNA from 1 species